rnacentral:rRNA from 1 species
UUGUCUUAAAGAUUAAGCCAUGCAUGUCUAAGUAUAAGCUUCUUUAUACGGCGAAACUGCGAAUGGCUCAUUAAAACAGUUAUAGUUUAUUUGAUAGUCAUAUCGAGAUGAGAAUCUACUACAUGGAUAACCGUGGUAAUUCUAUGGCUAAUACAUGCGCAAAUAUCCUUUUUCGCAAGGAAGAGGAUAGUGUUUAUUAGAUACAGAACCAAUACACCAUCUGUGUUUAACACACAGGUGGCUCGUCGAAAAAUCGGUCGAUUCAUACGUAACCGAAUCUGGAUCGCAUUAUAGUCAUUUUCAAUGGCUGGCGAUAGAUCAUUCAAGUUUCUGACCUGAUCAGCUUUCGACGGUAGUGUAUUGGACUACCGUGGCAGUGACGGGUAACGGGGAAUUAGGGUUCGAUUCCGGAGAGGGAGCCUGAGAAACGGCUACCACAUCUAAGGAAGGCAGCAGGCGCGCAAAUUACCCAAUCCUGACUCAGGGAGGUAGUGACAAGAAAUAACAACACUGGAAAUUUUAUUUCUAGUGAUUGGAAUGAUGGGAAUUUAAACCCCUUUCAGAGUAACAAUUGGAGGGCAAGUCUGGUGCCAGCAGCCGCGGUAAUUCCAGCUCCAAUAGCGUAUAUUAAAGUUGUUGCAGUUAAAAAGCUCGUAGUUGGAUGUCUGCUGGAAGCAAUCGGUCCGCCCUAUUUGUAGGGUGUGCACUUGAUGAAUUCUGGCAUCUCUAUCCUGAUAAUGGUGUGCGCGUGGGGAAUUCUCCUCUUCCCGCGGGCGAUCAGUUUUCGGGAUACUGUUACUUUGAGAAAAUUAGAGUGUUUGAAGCAGGCUAAUUGCCUUG